rnacentral:lncRNA from 1 species
ACUGGAAAUGAGGAGAAGGCCUUCCUCUUGGUGCAGAUGAGAAGUUGGAUUCUAAACCAGAAUCUCUGUCUAUAACCACAGCAACAACAGCUCAGUUGCUAUGACUGUAGUACCUGCAAGCAGCAAUGUGUGAGAAAUGUAACAGUUCUGUGGACAGGUCUGCCUUCAGAGCCUCAGCUGGUAGAGUCGCGUAGCAUGUGAGCACAGGGAGUGAGCUCAGUAGUGGGUAAAUGGUGCUCUACCUCACCCCUCCCCCGCUGUAGUAAUCAUAGUGCGUGCAAAUUUAAUUGCUUUCCCCAAAAUAUGCAUGCCAUCUAUAUGUACCUCAGUGUACGUAGAGAUACGCUUUCAGGAUGUAAGAAGAAAAAGUCGAGCCUCAUGGCUGUGGCUGAGUGAACAACGAACGAGAUCUUGACAAACAGCUGCUGUUCUGAAUAGGGGGAUAGAUUUAUGCUUAAACUAGAGUAAACUGUGCUACCAGGUAAUAAUUUUGAGCAAUGAAGUACGUUUGCUACAGUAACCAUUAAAGAAAGAGAUAAAUCACAGUAAUUUCAACAUGGCACUUUAGCCAUUCAGUAAAUGGAUAUUUUAGAUUUCAUUUGCUUUUGAACUAAGUUCAAUAAUUUAUGGAGUAAGUCAUUCAAAGAUUAAUGUUUAGAGAGGAGGGAAAUCACUAUACAAGAACAGAAACAUAUCAUUUAUGUAUAUUACAUC